GGGACUAGGACAGUGAAAUCAAUUAGGGAAAAAUCUCUUUUCAGCAAGUCCAGACUUUCACUCUUUCAGUGGAUGCAGUUCCUUUAUAGAUUUGCACAGGGCCUACGUCUCAGACGGGUAGAUAUGAUGGAGGACAGAAUUGCUGCAAGUCCUGCAACCCUCUCAAAGAUGGCAAAAAAACUGAGGAAGGUCUGCAGAAGGGCUAUUGAGCGAAUGAGAGAACGACGAGGACAGCUCAUUGGUGGACCUCGUGAAUUCGUUGUUAUUGAUGAGUCAUUUCCGCCAUAAGAGAAAGUAUGGCAGAGGAAGAAUGGGAGGCACCUGGCAAAGACGGAAAUGGGUCUUCGGUAUGCUUGGUGUGCAGUUGCAGAGAGGCAACAGAGGAAAGCCAGUGCUGCGUCUUGUAGAGAGAAGACGAAGGCAAGAUCUUAUCCCCCUGAUUGCACAUCAUGUCAGGAUAGGAUCAGACAUCAUUAGUGAUAAAUGGCGUGCUUAUCGUUCCCUCCCUCAACUUGGCUACAAUCACAUGACUGUAAAUCAUGCAAGGUGGUAUGUAGAUCCACGAACUGGUGCCCAUACACAGCACAUAGAAAGAGCAUGGCGGAGUAUUAAGGAGCAAGUUUGGAGGCAAAGAGGUAACCAAACUGAAAAUUUACUGUCUGACCAUCUUUGUCUCAUUGAGUGGAGUGACUGGCUAGGCAGGAAACACAAGCAUGGUCCUCUUGGUCGGCUUCUGUAUGACAUAGCUAAAAGAUACAGGGUAGGCUAAAAUGAGGUCUAAGUAGUGGGAGUGGAUCACACCGUCACUGUCCAGAUAUUAGAAGUAAGGUUCUGGCAAAACAGGGAAACUGUUGCCUGUUAGAAAGGGGUCGUUUUCAUUCCUUUUGAUCCAAAUUGCAAAUGUUUUCAGAGUACUUCGUGAAAUGUUUAAACCUAAAAUGAUCAGUGGAAUUAAAAACUACCUAAGUUGUAUGUUGCACUUGUUUAUUGAUGAUUGGUAUA